CGAGUCUUGACUUCGCAGCCUCCAAUUUCAGCCGCGGUGUGGAGGGGGGUGCUUUGGGUGGUCCCCACAGCCUUUCCGGAGUGCCCGCGCGUGUAAGCUUUUGAGAUUUGACAAUUUGUGAAGUGCUUGGUGCUGACUUUCGGGGACGACAGGAUCCUUUUACAGUCAUUCUCCUGUCAGGGGAGGCAGGUGGGGAGCGAGGAAGGAUCCAGAUUUCGUUAACAGAGCUUUGAGUUUAAAGAAUUGACAAACUCCCGAGUUGAUUUCCUGUCAGACCUUUUGCGGUUGAGACAUAGAGUCUGAGGCUUUGAUGGUAACCGCGUUUGAUUUAGAGACAGACUGUGCAGCUUCGCUGUUUUAUUGUAAAUACGUAAAUGAGGAG
rnacentral:lncRNA from 1 species